ACACCGUUGGUGAAGUGGUUAUCAUGCUUGCCUUCCAUAUCAUUUUGGAAAAGUCCCUAUAUGAGCAAGCGGCUCGGGUUCGAUUCCCGAACGGUGUA